rnacentral:rRNA from 1 species
AAUAGAUACCCAGGUAGUCCACGCCAUAAACGAUGAAUACUAGGUGUGGGGGUUAUCGUGACUUCCGUGCCGCAGUUAACACAAUAAGUAUUCCGCCUGGGGAGUACGGUCGCAAGAUUAAAACUCAAAGGAAUUGACGGGGGCCCGGCACAAGCAGCGGAGCAUGUGGUUUAAUUCGAAGCAACGCGAAGAACCUUACCUAGACUUGACAUCUCCUGAAUUACCGGUAAUGCGGGAAGUCCCUUCGGGGACAGGAAGACAGGUGGUGCAUGGUUGUCGUCAGCUCGUGUCGUGAGAUGUUGGGUUAAGUCCCGCAACGAGCGCAACCCUUGUCGUUAGUUGCUACCAUUAAGUUGAGCACUCUAGCGAGACUGCCGCGGUUAACGCGGAGGAAGGUGGGGAUGACGUCAAAUCAUCAUGCCCCUUAUGUCUAGGGCUACACACGUGCUACAAUGGGCAGUACAAUGUGAUGCAAUCCCGUGAGGGGGAGCUAAACACGAAAACUGUUCCCAGUUCGGAUUGCAGG